UGGAACAAGAAGAAAAGAGGGGAAAACCCUCUUAUUCAACAAAUCAGUAAAAUUGAAAGGGAAAUCAAAGUCUGAUUGAAUGCAUGAACACUAAUCCUUGAUCACCUAAGAAUUUCCUACAUAAGGAAUCAAGGAAGAAAGCUCGAGUCGUUCCGGGUCGCAAACAAACAACGACAAAGGUAAAGCGACUUGUUGAUGGCGCUAUUUGGGUUGAACACACUUAUGAUGCACGCUUCCGUGAAGUUGUUAAGUUAUGGUCAAAACUUUGGUUAAAUGCUUUUGUUAAAAUCGGAUCUUUUGUAUGUACCUUACCGGUAGUGUUUAGAUGUUGAACUCGUAGUCAAAGACUUGUAUAUGGAUUAUGAAAUAUUUUGGGGGUGUAAA